rnacentral:rRNA from 1 species
AGUGAACGCUGGCGGUAGGCCUAACACAUGCAAGUCGAACGGCAGCACAGUAAGAGCUUGCUCUUACGGGUGGCGAGUGGCGGACGGGUGAGGAAUACAUCGGAAUCUACUUUUUCGUGGGGGAUAACGUAGGGAAACUUACGCUAAUACCGCAUACGACCUACGGGUGAAAGCAGGGGAUCUUCGGACCUUGCGCGAUUGAAUGAGCCGAUGUCGGAUUAGCUAGUUGGCGGGGUAAAGGCCCACCAAGGCGACGAUCCGUAGCUGGUCUGAUAGGAUGAGCAGCCAAACUGGAACUGAGACACGGUCCAGACUCCUACGGGAGGCAGCAGUGGGGAAUAUUGGACAAUGGGCGCAAGCCUGAUCCAUCCAUACCGCGUGGGUGAAGAAGGCCUUCGGGUUGUAAAGCCCUUUUGUUGGGAAAGAAAAGCAGCACGUUAAUACCCCGCUGUUCUGACGGUACCCAAAGAAUAAGCACCGGCUAACUUCGUG